UUUGAGUGAGCCAAGGUAGAGGGGUUCCGCACGCUCCUGGCCGUAGGUGGCCAACAGUGCCUGCGCCUC
rnacentral:antisense_RNA from 1 species